rnacentral:rRNA from 1 species
GAGUUUGAUCUUGGCUCAGAUUGAACGCUGGCGGCAUGCCUUACACAUGCAAGUCGAACGGCAGCACGGGAGCUUGCUCCUGGUGGCGAGUGGCGAACGGGUGAGUAAUGCAUCGGAACGUAUCCUGGAGUGGGGGAUAACGUAGCGAAAGUUACGCUAAUACCGCAUAUUCUGUGAGCAGGAAAGCGGGGGACCUUCGGGCCUCGCGCUCUUGGAGCGGCCGAUGUCGGAUUAGCUAGUUGGUGAGGUAAAGGCUCACCAAGGCGACGAUCCGUAGCAGGUCUGAGAGGAUGAUCUGCCACACUGGAACUGAGACACGGUCCAGACUCCUACGGGAGGCAGCAGCGGGGAAUUUUGGACAAUGGGGGCAACCCUGAUCCAGCCAUGCCGCGUGAGUGAAGAAGGCCUCGGUUG